rnacentral:rRNA from 1 species
AUACGGAGGAUCCGAGCGUUAUCCGGAUUUAUUGGGUUUAAAGGGUGCGCAGGCGGCCAUUUAAGUCAGCGGUUAAAUCGUGGGGCUCAACCCCAUUCUGCCGUUGAUACUGGGUGGCUUGAUUGCGGUCGAGGUUGGCGGAAUUCGUUGUGUAGCGGUGAAAUGCAUAGAUAUGACGAAGAACACCGAUUGCGUAGGCAGCUGACCAGACCGCAAAUGACGCUCAUGCACGAAAGUGCGGGGAUCGAACAGGAUUAGAUUCCCUGGUAGUCCGCACAGUAAACGAUGAAUACUUGUUUUCGGCGAUAUAAUGUCGGAGGCAAAGCGAAAGCGAUAAGUAUUCCACCUGGGGAGUACGCCGGCAACGGUGAAACUCAAAGGAAUUGACGGGG